rnacentral:rRNA from 1 species
UACCUCAGUAACGGCGAGUGAAGCGGUAACAGCUCAAAUUUGAAAGCUACCAACAGGUCGCAUUGUAAUUUGUAGAAGAUGCUUUGGGUGUUGGCCUAGUCUAAGUUCCUUGGAACAGGACGUCAUAGAGGGUGAGAAUCCCGUAUGUGAUUAGUGCCAUCCCCCGUGUAAAGCUCUUUCGACGAGUCGAGUUGUUUGGGAAUGCAGCUCAAAAUGGGUGGUAAAUUUCAUCUAAAGCUAAAUAUUGGCCAGAGACCGAUAGCGCACAAGUAGAGUGAUCGAAAGAUGAAAAGCACUUUGGAAAGAGGGUUAAACAGUACGUGAAAUUGUUGAAAGGGAAGCGCUUGCAAUCAGACUUGCGGGCGGUUGAUCAUCCGAGGUUCUCCCCGGUGCACUCGAUCGUCCUCAGGCCAGCAUCGGUUUCUGUGGUGGGAUAAAGGCUGUGAGAAUGUGGCUCUUCGGAGUGUUAUAGCUCACGGUGCAAUGCCGCCUACGGGGACCGAGGACCGCGCUUCGGCUAGGAUGCUGGCGUAAUGGUUGUAAGCGACCCGUCUUGAAACACGGACCAAGGAGUCUAACAUCUAUGCGAGUGUUUGGGUGUCAAACCCAUACGCGUAAUGAAAGUGAACGGAGGUGAGAACCCUUUAGGGCGCAUCAUCGACCGAUCCUGAUGUCUUCGGAUGGAUUUGAGUAAGAGCAUAGCUGUUGGGACCCGAAAGAUGGUGAACUAUGCGUGAAUAGGGUGAAGCCAGAGGAAACUCUGGUGGAGGCUCGCAGCGGUUCUGACGUGCAAAUCGAUCGUCAAAUUUGCGUAUAGGGGCGAAAGACUAAUCGAACCAUUGGAACACUACUAGGUGGUUAAGAGGCAAAAGAUCUAGUCCACACCGUGGGCAACACUCUCAAAUUGCGGGGACGUCCUGAUUAAUGCACCGCUACCGCAGCCUGUACCGAAAGGACGGCGCGCACCAGCUCUCUGGCUGGGGAUGGUAACAAGGCGAGUGCUAGGGAUAAUCCGCAGCCAAUUCCUACGGGCUCUCUAGAGUCUAUGGAUGCAGUUCACAGACUAAAUGUGAGUGGGCUCUCGGAGCUUAAGCGAUAGUCGACCCCCCGUGAGAAC